GGCCAGCUGGGCUGUGGCGCGCGCGGGGGAGUUGGGCUGGUUCGGCCCAAUUCGGCCGGGCCGGUCCGUUUACCCCUUCUUCUUUUUUCUUUUAGGCCUUUUCUUUUUCUGUUUUUCUCAUUUCUUUGAUAUCUUUUGUGUUUGAACUCCAAAUUGGUCCAAAUAAAUUCCAGAAAAUUUGUAAAAUCAUGUUCUACCAUGAUACAACUUUUGGAAGUAGUUUCUCUUCAAAAGAAAAUAUAUAAAAAUACAUUUGCCCUAUAAAUGACUUUAGGGUUAUAUAUCUGUUUGAAUAAAAUACUUUUUCAACUCCAAUUAGUUAACCAAAAAUUAUGGGAUAGCUUAUAUAUACAUUAAACCCUUUUUAUACAUCAACCCUAUUGGUUUGAAAAUCCAAAGGUUACAGGGAUGUAAACAAAAUCUCUUAAAGCCUUUUGUGAUUCAAAAUUUGAAUUCAAACAUGCAAUUGUGGCAUGUUGCUCAUGGAUGCAAUGCACAUGUAAAGGUUUGAAAUUUUGGGAUGUUACAAUAUAAAAGCAAGCGCCGAAACCCUAGCCCGUUACUUCUCGCCUGCGCGUCGCUUUCCUCUAGUAGACCAGCAGUGGGCCAUCUUCCUCCUCGGGCGAAGCCCUGCCGGUAUUUCGCGCCGCCACCGCCGCCGCCGUCGACCCCG
rnacentral:lncRNA from 1 species